UACGUAGGGAGCAAGCGUUGUUCGGAUUUACUGGGCGUAAAGGGCGCGUAGGCGGCAUAUUAAGUCAUCUGUGAAAUCUCCGAGCUUAACUCGGAACUGUCAGCUGAUACUGAUGUGCUAGAGUGCGGAAGGGGCAAUCGGAAUUCUUGGUGUAGCGGUGAAAUGCGUAGAUAUCAAGAGGAACACCUGAGGUGAAGACGGGUUGCUGGGCAGUAACUGACGCUGAGGAGCGAAAGCGUGGGGAGCGAACAGG
rnacentral:rRNA from 1 species